rnacentral:rRNA from 1 species
GCCAGCUGCCAUAUCACCCUGCAACUCACAACUGGUAACCCACUGAAGCUAAGCAGGUGUGAGCCUGGUCAGUACCUGAAUGGGAGACCUCCUGGGAAAAACUUCCUGCUGGAA